UACGGAGGGUGCGAGCGUUGUCCGGAAUCACUGGGCGUAAAGGGCGCGUAGGCGGCCGUGUGUGUGAGGCGUGAAAGCCCGAUGCUUAACAUCGGAAUUGCACCUCAAACUACAUGGCUAGAGCAUUGGAGAGGGUAGCGGAAUUCACGGUGUAGCAGUGAAAUGCGUAGAUAUCGUGAGGAACACCAGAGGCGAAGGCGGCUACCUGGACAAUUGCUGACGCUCAGGCACGAAAGCGUGGGGAGCGAACAGG
rnacentral:rRNA from 1 species